rnacentral:lncRNA from 1 species
CCCACAGCUGGAAAAUGAAACAUCCUAGAUUACAUAAGUGACUUCAAAAAAACUCUAGAAAAAAAUCUUUACAAAUUUACAUUUGUACAAUACAAAAACUAACAGCUCAUUGCAUAUAAAUAUUACAUUUGGUCUGCCAACAAAUGGCAUCAAAAUCCCUGAAGUAUUCAUUUAAAGGGACCUGAGAUAGCGGAUGUGAAGAUAUGGGCAUAAAUAUCACCUGAAAAAAAAAAAAACCACAAAUCAAGAGAGAAAGUAUAUAAUUCUGAUAGCUUUGUGCAUUCUUGGAGUAUUUGAAGUCAUCCAGAGCAUGAACUGUAGAGCCUAAAUGUGGUGAAUGUCACUGCUCCAACACCAGCGGUAAGGACCGGUACUUCUAAGCAAAGUCUGCUAUAACAACGCAUGUAGGAAUGAAAAGCCUAUAUUGAUAUUUCUAUGGAAAAAAAGAACAACCAGACUCAGAUUUCUGAAUACAUCUGGGGUUUUCCAGAGCAGCAGCCCCUGUCCCAUCCCGCCCAGCUCUGCCAAUGCAAAAAGCAACCCGAGAAUGGAGCGACUGCCCUUAACUGUCCCCGAGGUUACGUAUUUUCCAGAGAGCUCCACAUCUGGAAGUUCACCAACGUGGCUGCAGUUAUUUCCCAGGAGUAGCGAGUCUCCAAUGCAGCGCUAAGCUGCUCCGUUUUGAGUUCUUGUAUCAGGUACCCACAUCCAUGCACAUAAAUGUAUUUAAGCACCAUUUGUAUAAUACUAGAGUUAAGGCUGUGACAGCAAUUCCACUGGGAACGUUCAGGGAUCCAUAGCACAGUUGCGUACGUUUGCUGUGGGCCGAACGUAACGUAUUAAACAUGAAGAAGCUCCCAACAGGUCUCUGCAUUUCUAAUGCUAAAGAAGACAACUUUUAGAUUAAGUUUUGCAGGCUGUUACUGUACAGAAAGAAGUUUUUUUGUGUUUGUUUUUUUUUCCCCAAAGGCGUACACCUCCGAUAUACUAAUAUUGGAAAAUUAUCUAUCGCACAUGGGCAGUAAUUUUCUAUAAUACAUACUUGUAAGAACACAAUGACAGCUCCCUAUGGUCCUAAUGGAGAUUUCUGCUCGGGUUGGUAACUGCUCCUUCGGUCUAUCCUGUAAUUAGCAACUCAUAAAGCUUUGCCGUGACAAUUAAAAGAAGUAAAUCAAGAACUGCAGGCACACAAACACACCACUCAAACAUGGAACUCGUGACACAGCUCAGCAAUGCCCCGUGGGGCUGCCAACACAUCCCUACACCAACAGCUAUUUGGCUUUCCCCAACCUUCACCACCCAAAGUUAAAGAUGAGGUGGAAACCUUGAGCUCUUAUCAGAAAUCAGAGAUUCCAGCUUCUUUUCCCCUUAUAUUAGCAGUGUGUGAUUUUGAGCAGUUGUCAGACAUGUGGGAGCAGUAUUCCCCAAUGCUUGCCAAGGUUAUCUUGCUUUUUGAGGUCAGCAGAGCCUCCACCAUUGUCAAAAGCAAUAUAUUUCAGUCUAUCUUUCCAUAUUGAACACGUUUUUUGCUAGCACACAACGCCUGUUCUUCCCAGGGCUCGGCACGCUUUGUGCAGAAGUAGCAGCUGAGGCGUACGUUUCAGAGAACGUUCAGGGAAAACCAAGAUAUGCAAAAGGUACAACAUUUUAGGCAACCGAAAAACCAUCCACAAAUUACUUCUCAGUGCCUCAAUGCCUGGCUCACCUGCAGGGUGGAGCCGCCCGGGACACGGAGUGACCUCAGCUUACAGUGCCACAGCAAACUUCUAUUACUGGAAAGCAUAACCCAAGAUUGUUCCAAGCCCUAUGAAGCAAGCACAGUGGACUCACUCUUUUUUAAUAAGAGUGGCAAUGAGAGGGAUGAGAAAGAGGAGAGACGAUGGAUGCAUCCCAGGCACCUCCAGCAGCUGGGGAAUGGUGCUGACACUGAGAGAGGAAGAUAUGAAAAACAUGGGGAGUGGUGGGAAAGUUCAUCUGCCAGACAAACAGGAGGCAAAAGAAUGAAGUCUUACACUCUAACAGCCUGGCUGAAACACAAUCCAUUGAGAUACCACAGAAUUCCAAAAGUAUCAUAAAUAACCGAUGGGGCAAUAACAGGAAGCUAAAGAAGAGGGGUGGAACACAACGAGUGGAAAAGCAAAAGACAGAAAAUCAAAUGCUGGCAAAGUUCAGGUAAAAAGAGAUGCAGCAGCACAUCAGAACUGCAAAGGGAGCUUGGUCAUUCACACUCUGGUCCAGGGAAAUAUGGGAGUGGUACAGAGAGCAGAUCUGUAGCCAGGAGAAAUCCAAGAAUACAGACUUUCAGCCCCAUCACCACAGAGCACAAAGCUGGGGGUGAGGAUCCGCUGCAGUGACCCGUUGGGCAGAAGCCCCUUUCCCAGGGCAGCUCAGAGUGCCCCCACGUCUCCAGCACUCAGGAGAAGGGCCAUGCAGCCGGAGAACGCCUGGCCUAUCACGGCUAGAGAAAACCUUGCUUGCAUCUUGCAGAACAGAAGCUCAAGAAUUAACCAGCAGCAGCAGAGGAGCCCCAGGCCUGCACACACGCCUUGCUAGCCUUCAGGGAUGUAAUAACCAAGCCCACAAACCUUUCUCUUAGGUCCAAUUUUGGAGUAGACAGCACAAGGCUUAAACCAGCUCACUGCUGCUGCACCCGCAGGGCUUCCUGCAGCAAUAAGUGGCUCCUGGCAGCAUCUGGGAUUUGAGAGAAAGAAUCCAAGUUGCCAUAACAUUAAAAUCAUCCCACAGAAUGAGGCGAUGAGAAAUCGUUUGCCCAACUCAGAGAAGGAAUCCAGAUACAGAAUCGAGUAAAAAUAACAUCUCUAAAACCAAGUUAUUUUUCAUGCUUACAAAAAAGUUCUCAUGCACAAAAAAAGCAGUUUUUUUUUGUUCUCUUUUUAAAUAAGCAAUAGCUUUGUUGUUCCAGCACGCCCUGCUGCCUAGCUCUUAACCAUGUAACACAUAUGAUUAAUACUUACGCCACAGCAAAGUGAUGCUUCACUGUUAUCUUCACAGUACUUCAUUACAUAGAAAAGAUACAUUUGAGAAUAUGUUUAAUAUUAUCCUAACUGUUGCUAAAAUACACAAAUUAUAAAAUGAUUUAUCUGGAAUCCAUGUAAUUAUCUCCCCCCCCAACCCCUACACAAAAUAAAUAUGUAAGUGGAUCUUCAGCCAGUCAGAAAUAUAUGGAAAACAUUUCUUCUGCAUUUCAAGAUUUUCAGGCUUUAGAACAGAAACCAUAGUGUUUACAUUAGCUCAACAGGACUGAUCUAAAAGAGGUACGGCUCUGACUAUGAGCUGAUGUGUACGUGCUAUUCCUGGUUACCAUAUG